GACGAACGCUGGCGGCGUGCCUAACACAUGCAAGUCGAACGGAAACGCCCUGCUUUUUUGCGCUGCUGGGGUGGCGAAGGGGUGAGUAACACGUAAGUAACGUGCCCUUGACUUUGGGGUAAGUUCAGGAAACGGGGGUUAAUCCCAGAUAGGAGCUCCCGCUGCAUGGUGGGGGUUGGAUAGUUUCGCCGGUUGGGGAUGGAUUGGCGGCUUAUGGGCUUGUUGGUUGGGUAGUGGCAUACCAAGGCAGUGACCGGUAGCCUACCUGGGAGGGUGACCGGCCACAUUACGACUGAGAUACGGCCCAGACUCGAAUGGGAGGCAGCAGUGGGGAGUAUUGUACAGUGGGAGGGGGCCUGAUGCGGCAACGCCGCGUGGGGGAAGACGGCCUGCGGGUUGUGAACCGCAGCCGCUUGAGACGAAGCGUUAGUGACGGUAAUGGGUGAAUAAGCACCGGCUAACUACGUG
rnacentral:rRNA from 1 species